UCCGAAAGCUCCGAGAGGAACUGUUGGGAGAGGUGAGCUCCGCCGUGGAGGACGGCUGCUUCCUGUUCCUGCUGGAGUGACCCGCAGGUCUGAGGAGGAGCGAGAGACGGAGCGAGGGAGAGCCUGAGAGAGAGAGAGACAGCAGCAGCAGCAGAUGAGGCCAGCCAGUCACUGAGACAACAGGCUGAUGGAUGCUUAAGCGGUUGGAGAAGUGCCAGCAGGGCUCAGACAGGAGACGUCAUGCCAAAUACUCAUGGACAAAUAUUGGGUUCCACAUACUUCUGGACAAGGAACUGCUUCUUCAAUGGCUGAGACCUCUGCUCGACGAUGAAGUUACACUACAGAGAGCGCAGACCCUGAACAUGACCCCAAAAUG